GUGAAUUGAAUGUGAUUGUGCUCCUACUUUUCCUUUCAGAUAUGUUUCAGAAAUGAUAGUUGUUUCUGCUCUAUAUUCCCGGCGGCGGGGAUGAGCCGACAGUUUGUCACGCUACAUACAGUGAAACAUGUCUAAGGACCGCUCAAGGGACCUUCAAAAGGGUGGUCUCUGUAACCAGGUUGUCUCAUUAUCCAGUGCCAUUUUACUUGAAAGAGCAUUCCUUGGUCCUGGCUGCAGUGGUCUUCUAGGACAGGUGGUCGCCUUAGGACAGGUGGUAGCCUUGACAGGUUUUGCUGUACACUGUGUAUGUGUGUAUAGAAAUGAAAUGAUGUAAAUGGUAGCAUCAGUAGUAUUGUUGUAAUCAAUUCUGUGGCUAUGUCGGCUUCUUGUCACGCACACUGGGAGUGCAUAUAGUUGGUGUGUAGUAGAUAACACAACAGCAGAAGCAGCAGAAGCAGCUACAUGAGCACCAACUGUGAUGCUACUAAUGUUUACUUGGUUAUGAUAGUAGUAGUACUGCGAGUCUUUAGCAGUGAUAUACUGUCGUGGACAUGGAAAUCCGGUCGCACGUCUAGCGGCUCCAAGGCGCUGGCCAUGCAGCCGCUGCGCUGGCCAUGCAGCCGCUGCGCUGGUCGCAUCGGAUUAACAUGUGCAUGCACUGCAUGCAACGGCGUUACGUUCUGUACACACUGAGGGCGCCGACACCGGUUAAUCGACUGGAUUUCCAUGUCCACGACAGUACAUAGGCUCAGACAUGCACAGCACAGUACAUGAUAUACAUAGACUUACACAUACAUAGCACAGUACAAGAUAUACACCGGCCAUUGGAAAUGGUCAAAGGACUGCUUUAUGUAACUAAGUAAAUGCUAGUUUACAUCCAGUGGUACUGCAAGGUGGCUAGCUGCUGUCUGGUGUAAAGUUGACAAUUGCCAGAGAGCAGAAUAUUGUCUUUACAAGCUAGCAUGUUCUAGCUUCUAUGUUGAGAACAUAUUGUUCAUGAUGGUGAAGGGAUUAGAGAUAUGUCGCUAUUCAAAGUUACAUCAGGAGGUUUCUGAUGCGGCCUUUAGAAAUAUUGUAACCUUGGCUCUUCUUCUUUGUAUUUCUAUUCACUAUUGUUGUUGGCAUCACGACGUCUUAUGAUGCUGAUACUGACAUUUGGCCAACCGCACGCACUAAGGCUGACGUCAUUGGCAAUGUCUUCCGAGGCAUCACAGCUGCUUCUGCGGACGUCGCGCACUAGUAUUGCUGCUGCCGUUUUUGUUGUACGAGAUCCAUGAUGGCUUCUGUCAGACUCUGGUGAGCUUGCAUUAUCUGAGAAGCAGUACUGCAGGCAUCCUUAGAAUGGUGAUGGCACAUCUGGGGUGAUCUUCAGGAAGCAGUUGAGGAAUACUGUAUACACUAUGCAGUGCAUAUAGAAUGCCCAUCCCCGUCACCUGACACACGGUGGGAUACCUUCCAACUAGGUAGCCUCCGUGUUGAGAAUUGGAAGAAAGCGGCAAAGACUGACUUGGUGCGGGCUGUUGGUAUUUCGCUUGAGCAGCCAAGCGAUAUCGUGGGUGAUAGGGAGUGGCGGCUUGCCACGCCAGGCCAUGAUUCUACCCACAGCAUUGCAGUGAAUUCCUGAUUUCAACCAGCAGUGAGACUUGCAACAGAUGUAGUGUGUCAGUGUAGCUAUCGCUGGCCACAAACCAUACUUUACACACAUGUUCACAUAGACAAUGGUGCAUUGCAUCUAUGACUGCCAGUCUCCACACUCACACUAUACUGUGCUGUAUUGUAAUGUUAUAACUUUUAAUCCUGGUAGUAGACAUGCGCUUCAUUGUAUCUGUGUUCUUACGGAACAAUGCACUAUGCUUUUGCACUUUUUAACCACUUCCUUUUUUCGAGUUCCCUCUCUCUCUCUCUUAUCUCUCUCUCUCUCUCUCUCUCUCUCUCUCUCUCUCUCUCUCUCUCUCUCUCUCUCUCUCUCUCUCUUUCUCUCUCUCUCUCUCUCUCUCUCUCUCUCUCUCUCUCUCUCUCUUUUUUUUUUCUCUCUCUCAUCUUAAUUUCGAUGGAUGGAACGGUGGCCUACCCUCCAACUUCCAUGGAUCAUGCAGUCUACUGAAGCACUCCCCUUAUCUCGUUUGUUUCAGUCAAGAUCAUGAUGUAUAAAUUUUGGUAACUGUAGAUUCUUAUGCUAUCAAAGUAUCUACAUGUAUUUGUCUGUAUGACUCAUCUCUUACAGUCAGUAAUAUGCAUAGGCUAACUUUACCUACUUGUUCAUUUUGAUAACUUGUCUCCUUCCUGCAUUGUCAUUAAUUUUCUUAUUUCGAUGUAUAUUUUAGUGAAUUAUUAUUUUAUUAUUAUCAAAUUUUUGAUAGGGCAAUCCCCACAGGCCUAAGGCCUUCUUACAGGUGAAUGACCUCAUCACUUCAAGAUCUUUCCCUUUUCUACUUACAGGCUACAUUCUAUUGCUGAAACAUUCUUUUGCUAGGUUUCUGCUUCUAUUUCAGCAUAAUCAGUACCGAUCUAUUCUUUUACAAAAAUAUCUUCUUUGUUCGACUACAUUUACUUUUUUUACUAAAUUUCUUCUGUUCUUACAAGUACUUUUUCUAAGCCGUACUUUUUUCGCGUUUUCUAAUCAUUUUUGACACAGUUCUGAAAUAUUUUCUCACAUUAUUAAAAAAAAAUUG